UACGAAGGGGGCUAGCGUUGCUCGGAAUGACUGGGCGUAAAGGGCGCGUAGGCGGCUCAUACAGUCAGGCGUGAAAUUCCUGGGCUCAACCUGGGGACUGCGCUUGAGACGUGUGGGCUUGAGUGGGGAAGAGGGUCGUGGAAUUCCCAGUGUAGAGGUGAAAUUCGUAGAUAUUGGGAAGAACACCGGUGGCGAAGGCGGCGACCUGGUCCGUUGACUGACGCUGAGCGCGAAAGCGUGGGGAGCAAACAGG
rnacentral:rRNA from 1 species